rnacentral:tRNA from 1 species
UUUUUUUUAUCUAGUUUAAAAAAAAUACUAAAUUUGUCAAGUUAUUGAUGCUAAAAGGCGAUUAACAAAUAGCUUAUAUUAAGCAUAGCA